CAUGGUAAUAAAUGUAUUCAGGAGUACUAAAUUUCUGCCUGGCAUGUUGUUGAUACUAUUGUAGUCAAUGAUACUAAUAAUUAAGCAUCAUAAUUACAGGGAAGGAACAGUAUAACUGUGGAAAACACUUAUUUAUUUGCAGGAUAGACAGUUUAAAACAAAUCUAAAAAUGCUUAUGACAACAGUGUAUUAUUGGUACCUAUUUACAAUUCAAGGUUGGGAAGGAUUAUUUCAUGGUAUGGCCUCAUAACAUUUGCAGUGUCUCUCAUUUUCAUUUGCCUGUCUUGGGCACCCAUUUGGGUGCUCCUGGCAGAUCUCUGAAGCACCAAUGUACUGUCAGGGGUGUGGAUGUAGGACCCAAGUGCAGCACAAUGGCAGGUAGUUGUUUAGAAGAUACUUUUAUUGUAACAGUUCAAACAAAAAAAGGUAACUGAAGAUACUGGGAUUGAUUUAGCAGUCUCUGUAGAACCUCCAAGACCAACAGGAAACAGGUCCAACAGGCAGAUAGGUGAGUGCACACAGAAAGCACACUACACCUGAGAGUCUUUGUGAAGUGCAGCGGCACUGUCGAGGGGCAGGCUGGGCUCGUGUUCGAAGCGGAGGCAAUGUUGAAUCCAGGCAGACAAUCAGCGGGGCAGACUAACUCCAGAGGGAUCAGACGGAAGGAUAGUCGUGGACAGGCAGUAGGUUGGGAAGCCAGAAACACAGCAAAACCUGAAGUUCUCACCGGAGCGAAGAAACUUGACAGGGGAUCCAAGGGCUGAGACGAUAAGACGUGGUCAGAGACAGGCAGGAGUCGAAACCGAGA